GUGAGGAAUCUUGCGCAAUGGGGGAAACCCUGACGCAGCAACGCCGCGUGAGUGAGGAAGGUCUUCGGAUCGUAAAGCUCUGUCAGUUGGAAAGAAAUGUCUGAGAGUCAAUCCCUUUCAGGCUUGACGGUACCAACAGAGGAAGCACCGGCUAACUCCGUGCCAGCAGCCGCGGUAAUACGGGGGGUGCAAGCGUUGUUCGGAAUUAUUGGGCGUAAAGAGCGUGUAGGCGGCCGGAUAUGUCAGAUGUGAAAGCCCCGGGCUUAACCCGGGAAGUGCAUUUGAAACUGUCCGGCUCGAGUAGGGGAGAGGGAAGUGGAAUUCCUGGUGUAGAGGUGAAAUUCGUAGAUAUCAGGAGGAACACCGGUGGCGAAGGCGACUUCCUGGCCCUAUACUGACGCUGAGACGCGAGAGCGUGGGUAGCAAACAGGAUUAGAUACCCGAGUAGUCC
rnacentral:rRNA from 1 species